UAGAAGCUUUGUAGAGAGGACUAAGGUCUGGCCUUCUGGAACUUCCCAGUUCCACGGUAAAGGACCAAUAGUUACAUGACGGUUCUCUCUGAGAAAACGGAUCCGACGCUGAACAUGUGGAAUCAGCAGCAGGUGAACAACAACCACCUUGGAAAAGAGUAAAGACGAAUCCUGGAAUGUACACAGGUCUAUAUUUGGAGAAGGGAGAGGUGGAGAAACCACAUGUCCAUGUUUUACUGUGCAGCAGUGAAGUAGUCAGGGAGGAAGUGCCUGGGUCUGGACCAUAGGUACCACAGGAGAUGGCCUGGGUCUGGACCAUAGGUACCACAGGAGAUGGCCUGGGUCUGGACCAUAGGUACCACAGGAGAUGGCCUGGGUCUGGACCAUAGGUACCACAGGAGAUGGCCUGGGUCUGGACCAUAGGUACCACAGGAGAUGGCCUGGGUCUGGACCAUAGGUACCACAGGAGAUGGCCUGGGUCUGGACCAUAGGUACCACAGGAGAUGGCCUGGGUCUGGACCAUAGGUACCACAGGAGAUGGCCUGGGUCUGGACCAUAGGUACCACAGGAGAUGGCCUGGGUCUGGACCAUAGGUACCACAGGAGAUGGCCUGGGUCUGGACCAUAGGUACCACAGGAGAUGGCCUGGGUCUGGACCAUAGGUACCACAGGAGAUGGCCUGGGUCUGGACCAUAGGUACCACAGGAGAUGGCCUGGGUCUGGACCAUAGGUACCACAGGAGAUGGCCUGGGUCUGGACCAUAGGUACCACAGGAGAUGGCCUGGGUCUGGACCAUAGGUACCACAGGAGAUGGCCUGGGUCUGGACCAUAGGUACCACAGGAGAU